GUACUGUGACGCGUCGGGACGUUCGUCCGCCCCCCACUCGCCCGGCAGGACCUUUUAUUUUAUUUUUAUUUUUUUUUUUGUUUCCCCCCCCGUAUUCAGUUAUCGCACGUUUUUUUUCGUCUUCGGGCAAAAAAUACGACCGAAAGAAAAAUUGAAUAUUUAUGAUAUGAUAAAUAGUUCAAUAUUACUUUUGCUCUUUUUACCCCUUUUUUUUCCGGGGUUUUUUUUUUUUUUUUUUUUUUUGUUUAACAAACGCAUGUUUGACACGGUCGUUUUAUUACUCUUUUUUACUAAAAUAUUGUACAUAAUGCUCGCG